rnacentral:rRNA from 1 species
GGAUAACCUACCCUUAGGACUGGGAUAACCUUGGGAAACUGAGGCUAAUACCGGAUAGGCAAUUUUUCCUGUAAUGGUUUUUUGUUUAAAUGUUUUUUCGCCUAAGGAUGGGUCUGCGGCCGAUUAGGUAGUUGGUUAGGUAAUGGCUUACCAAGCCGUUGAUCGGUACGGGUUGUGAGAGCAAGAGCCCGGAGAUGGAACCUGAGACAAGGUUCCAGGCCCUACGGGGUGCAGCAGGCGCGAAACCUCCGCAAUGUGAGAAAUCGCGACGGGGGGAUCCCAAGUGCCAUUCUUAACGGGAUGGCUUUUCAUUAGUGUAAAGAGCUUUUGGAAUAAGAGCUGGGCAAGACCGGUGCCAGCCGCCGCGGUAACACCGGCAGCUCUAGUGGUAGCAAUUUUUAUUGGGCCUAAAGCGUCCGUAGCCGGUUUAAUAAGUCUCUGGUGAAAUCCUGUAGCUUAACUGUGGGAAUUGCUGGAGAUACUAUUAGACUUGAGACCGGGAGAGGUUAGAGGUACUCCCAGGGUAGAGGUGAAAUUCUGUAAUCCUGGGAGGACCGCCUGUUGCGAAGGCGUCUAACUGGAA